ensembl:rRNA 5S_rRNA 5S ribosomal RNA
CAAUGCCAUACCACCCUCAACGCGCCCGAUCUCAUCUGAUCUCGGAAGCUAAGCAGGGUCGGGCCUGGUUAGUACUUGGAUGGGAGACCUCUCAUAUUAACUAAACAUGACUUAGUAUUAA